GACGAACGCUGGCGGCGUGCCUAAUACAUGCAAGUCGAACGCAGUGGGGACGGGUGAGUAACACGUGGGUAACCUCCCAUCAGAGGGGAUAACACUUUGAAACAGGUGCUAAACCGAUACUGAUGGAUGGACCCGCGUGGCAUUAGCUAGUUGGUGAGGUACCGGCUCACCAAGGCGACGAUGCAUAGCCGGUCUGAGAGGGUGAUCGGCCACACUGGGACUGAGACACGGUCCAGACUCCUACGGGAGGCAGCAGUAGGGAAUCUUCGACAAUGGACGAAAGUCUGACCGAGCAACGCCGCGUGAGUGAAGAAGGCUUUCGGAUCGUAAAACUCUGUUGUUAGAGAAGCGGUAUCUAACGAGAAAGCCCCGGCUAACUACGUGCCAGCAGCCGCGGUAAUAC
rnacentral:rRNA from 1 species